rnacentral:rRNA from 1 species
CUUUCAGCGACGGAUGUCUUGGCUCCCACAACGAUGAAGAACGCAGCGAAAUGCGAUACGUCUUGCGACUUGCAGAAUCCAGUGAAUCAUCAAAACUUUGAAACGCAUCUUGCGCUUUCCGGGAUACUCCUGGGAACAUGCUUUGUCGGGAAUGGCUUGUU